UACGUAGGGGGGCAAGCGUUGUCCGGAUUUAUUGGGCGUAAAGAGCGUGUAGGCGGUCAGGUAGGUCCGUUGUGAAAACUCGAGGCUCAACCUCGAGACGCCGAUGGAAAACCAUCUGACUAGAGUCCGGAAGAGGAGAGUGGAAUUCCUGGUGUAGCGGUGAAAUGCGCAGAUAUCAGGAGGAACACCAAUGGCGAAGGCAGCUCGCUGGGACGGUACUGACACUGAGACGCGAAAGCGUGGGGAGCAAACAGG
rnacentral:rRNA from 1 species